rnacentral:misc_RNA from 1 species
AUACGUAGAGACUGCGCGAGGUCAUUAUUGUGAUGUGUUCUUUGGAUAUGCAUUUCAACACGCAGAGUAAGAUCCUGUUGCUUCCAUACUGUCUGGACUGCGUCCCCCUCUUUCCGUACCUUGGGGUACGGUUCAAACUGUCGGAAUGGGGGGUAUACAUCUAACUCUUGUCAUUUCAAGUCUCCGUGGGAACCGUUUAUAAGGCCCGUGCAAACUCUUUCGGGAGGGAACCUAUUGCUUCUAUACUUCCUGAACUUCGGGGUGGAUUCUAUGGGCAAUCGGGAAUUAAACCUUUAAGUCCGGUCGCCAGACAUGAAGAACGUUUAGCCCCUCCGUGGAUUCGGGGGGAGCGGUUGCCGCUAUGCUUAUUAAAUACUCGGCCCCCUUGGGAAACUGGGGGGUAAGUACACUGCUUGAGAUUUAAACUCCCGCUCAAUUACAAUUUUCGAGACUGUCUGGUUGCCGCGGCGGUUUGAUACCUCUUCCCCGUUCCUUUCGGUGAACUUUCCGCAAGGAUCAUCCCCAGAUUCUUUUUAGGUUAACCUCGCGAUCAACUUCGGGAUCCCCGGACGAUUGACUCAUGUUCACCUCGGCGGGGGAACUCACCAGAGGAUACAUCAAAACUCAUGUUUUAACGGUGUCGUCUGAGCUACAAGCAACGAAUCAAAACUUUCAACAACGGAUCUCUUGGUUCUGGCAUCGAUGAAGAACGCAGCGAAAUGCGAUAAGUAGUGUGAAUUUGCAGAAUUUCAGUGAAUCAUCGAAUCUUUGAACGCACAUUGCGCCCCUUGGUAUCCCGAGGGGCAUGCCUGUUCGAGCGUCAUUCACACUCAGCCUGGCUUGGUGUUGGGCGACGUCCCAUUGGGGACGCCGCCUCUAAACGCUCGCGGCGUGUCACGGCUUUA